UUUGUUAAUGAUGUCUUCACACUGUUUGUUGAUGAUGUCUGCGCAGGCUUUGUAGAUGAUGUCUGUGCAGGGUUUAUUGCUAAUGUUUGUGCAGAGUUUGAUGAUGAUCUCUGUGCAGGAUUUGUUGAUGAUGUGUGUGCAGGGUUUGUUGAUGGUGUCUGUGCAGGUUUUGUUGAUGAUGUCUGUGCAGGGUUUGUUGAUGAUGUCUGCACACGGUCUGUUGAUGAUUUCCGCACAGGAUUUGUAGAUGAUGUCUGUGCAGGCUUUGUAGAUGAUUUCUGUGUAGGGUAUUUCGAGGAUGUCUGCACACGGUUUGUUGAUGAAGUCUGCACACGGUUUGUUGAUGAUGUAUGUGCAGGGUUUGUUGAUGAUGUUUGUGCAGGGUUUAUAGAUGAUGUCUGUGCAGGGUUUAUUGUUAAUGUUUGUGCAGGGUUUGUUGAUGAUGUAUGUGCAGGGUUUGUUGAUAAUGUCUGUGCAGGUUUUGUUGAUGAUCUCUGUGCAGGAUUUGUUGAUGAUGUGUGUGCAGAGUUUGUUGAUGAUAUCUGUGCAGGGUUUGUUGAUGAUGACUGCGCAGGGUUUGUUGAUGAUGGCUGCACAUGGUUUGUUGAUGAUAUCUGUGCAGGGUUUG
rnacentral:lncRNA from 1 species